ACGCUCGACACCUACGGUAGGCAGCAGUAGGGAAUCUUCCACAAUGGGCGCAAGCCUGAUGGAGCAACACCGCGUGAGUGAAGAAGGGUUUCGGCUCGUAAAGCUCUGUUGUUGGAGAAGAACGUGCGUGAGAGUAACUGUUCACGCAGUGACGGUAUCCAACCAGAAAGUCACGGCUAACUACGUGCUAGCAGCCGCGGUAAUCUGAGCGGGCUGGCAAGGC
rnacentral:rRNA from 1 species